rnacentral:rRNA from 1 species
CCUACGGGGGGCAGCAGUGAGGAAUAUUGGUCAAUGGACGAGAGUCUGAACCAGCCAAGUAGCGUGAAGGAUGACUGCCCUAUGGGUUGUAAACUUCUUUUAUAUGGGAAUAACAUGUUCCACGUGUGGGAUUUUGUAUGUCCCAUAUGACUAAGGAUCGGCUAACUCCUUGCCAGCAGCCGCGGUAAUACGGAGGAUCCGAGCGUUAUCCGGAUUUAUUGGGUUUAAAGGGAGCGUAGGUGGUUUGUUAAGUCAGUUGUGAAAGUUUGCGGCUCAACCGUAAAAUUGCAGUUGAAACUGGCAGGCUUGAGUACAGUAGAGGUGGGCGGAAUUCGUGGUGUAGCGGUGAAAUGCUUAGAUAUCACGAAGAACUCCGAUUGCGAAGGCAGCUCACUGGACUGCAACUGACACUGAGGCUCGAAAGUGUGGGUAUCAAACAGGAUUAGAUACCCGAGUAGUC